rnacentral:lncRNA from 1 species
ACAGCAGCAGCUCUUCCUGAACCUCUCCCUGGGAGAUUUCACCUCCUGUCCCCUUGGGGGUCUCCGUGGGGACCCAAGGGUCUGGCUCUAUCGCCCAGGCUGGAGUACAGUGGCACGAUCUCUGCUCACUGUAUCCUCCGCCUCCCGGAUUCAAGCCAUCCUCCCAUUUCUUUCAGCCUCCCAAAUAGUUGGGGCAACAGGCACCUGCCACCACGCCUGGCUGAUUUUUUUGUAUUUUUAGUAGAGAUAGGUCUUGCUAUGUUGCCCAGGCUGGUCUCGAACUCCUAGACUCAAGCAAUCCACCCGUCUUGGCCUCUUAAAGUGCUGGGAUUACAGGCAUGAGCCACUGCUCCCAGGCUAGUUACUGUCCCUUCUAAUGCAUCCAGAAUCCUGACUUCUCCAAGGCCCACCCUGGUCCGGCUUCCAUCAUCUCUCCCCAGAAUUGCUCCAGUUGCCACCUCUCUGCACACCUUGCAGCCCCCGACAGUCUGUCCCCAUCCCCCUAAUCCCCUCCCCACCACAGCAGCCGGGGCGGGGCGCCUGUGAGCACCCAAGUCAGGUCCAGUCCCUCCUCUGCUCAGAACCCUCAAUGGCUCCCACCUUAUUCAGAGCAAAAGCCAAAGUCCUCCCCAGGACCCAGAAGGCUUUGCACAGUCUCCUGUCUCCUCUCUGCCUCACCCUCUCC